GUGGGGAAUAUUGGACAAUGGGCGCAAGCCUGAUCCAGCCAUGCCGCGUGAGUGAUGAAGGCCCUAGGGUUGUAAAGCCCUUUCAGUGGGGACGAUAAUGACGGUACCCACAGAAGAAGCCCCGGCUAACUUCGUGCCAGCAGCCGCGGUAAUACGAAGGGGGCUAGCGUUGUUCGGAUUUACUGGGCGUAAAGCGCACGUAGGCGGAUCGUUAAGUCGAGGGUGAAAUCCUGGAGCUCAACUCCAGAACUGCCUUCGAUACUGGCGAUCUUGAGUCCGGAAGAGGUGAGUGGAACUCCUAGUGUAGAGGUGGAAUUCGUAGAUAUUAGGAAGAACACCAGUGGCGAAGGCGGCUCACUGGUCCGGUACUGACGCUGAGGUGCGAAAGCGUGGGGAGCAAACAGGAUUAGAUACCCGUGUAGUCC
rnacentral:rRNA from 1 species